UGUUUACCAGUGAUGUUGAAAUAAAUGUCUGAACAAAUGAGAUCAGUGUGAUAUCAAUAUUUUCACUGAGGUAAACU
ensembl:snoRNA SNORD72 small nucleolar RNA SNORD72